CAUCCUCUCAAUGCUUCCAGUCAGGGUAGUCUUAACGAGUCCUGUAAACGUUUCCCUCGGCCUCCAGGUACAGCGGCUGGAAGAGCAGCUCAACACAAUGAAGGAAAAUGAACCGGCGGUUCAAGCGGAGGCAACCGCAUCACAGCAGGUUUUGUCUCUCAAGAAGAAGCACCUUGAAGAGGCCC